rnacentral:miRNA from 1 species
UUUUAAAAUCGGUUAUUUUAGAACCGAUUUUAAAAGUAGCACUUUUAAAAUCGGUCAUAAAAGAACCGAUCUUAAAA